rnacentral:rRNA from 1 species
AUUGAACGCUGGCGGCAUGCCUUACACAUGCAAGUCGAACGGUAACGCGGGGCAACCUGGCGACGAGUGGCGAACGGGUGAGUAACGCAUCGGAACGUGCCCAGUAGUGGGGGAUAGCCCGGCGAAAGCCGGAUUAAUACCGCAUACGACCUACGGGGGAAAGAGGGGGAUCGCAAGACCUCUCGCUAUUGGAGCGGCCGAUGUCAGAUUAGGGAGUUGGUGGGGUAAAGGCCUACCAAGCCUACGAUCUGUAGCUGGUCUGAGAGGACGACCUGACACACGGGGACUGAGACACGGCCCAGACUCCUACGGGAGGCAGCAGCGGGUAAUGUUGGACAAUGGGCGCAAGCCUGAUCCAGCCAUGCCGCGGGCGGGAAGAAGGCCUUCGGGUUGUAAACCGCUUUUGUCAGGGAAGAAACGCUCUGGACUAAUACUCUGGGGUAAUGACGGUACCUGAAGAAUAAGCACCGGCUAACUACGUGCCAGCCGCCGCCGUAA